rnacentral:lncRNA from 12 species
UGAAAAAUGAGAUCUCUACAUAGUAAUAUGUAGCUCCAAUUAGCUUCUGGAAAAGAGUUGGACAGAGAGCGGUUGCUCCCUGAAGGCCAAGAUCAUGUUGGUCUUUGUCAUUGCUAAAUCUCUGGUGCUUAGUCAAGUAUCUGGCCUCUGGAAUUGCCUUCCGUACAUUGGACAAUGAAUUCAGAUCAGAUAAUGAAUGAAAUUGGAUGUCGCUAUUCUUAUAGGUGACGUGCAGCAUUUGUGAUGAAAAGAAAAUUUAUGUUUGAAAAGCAAGUAAAAUCAAAUAAGGAACUGAAAGGCCAACAUGGGUCUAAUGGAGUCUGCUCGGGCCAUAUCAGAUAACGCUAGAGAAUUUCCAGUCUCCUCCAAGGGCAGAGAUGAAGGCCUUCAUGAAGAUAUAAAUAGU